UUGACACUAAGGGCGGAGUGACAUAAUUUCAGGAGUGAGGGUUAGGGAAAGGUUUCCCCCUCCCCCUGGUGUUCUUAGUAAGCCUGGAAGCUAAUCACUAAGAGUAUCACCAGUAUGAUGACGUGCUUCAUCAUAACCCUUUUCUUAUU
rnacentral:sRNA from 110 species